CCCCCACCCUCGGGGCCCCCGCCCCGAAAGGAGAGUCAUGAAGAACAGAAAUUGGAGAUCAAGGAUGCAUCACCUGUGGAAGCUCUCAGGAAGCAUCCAGUUUCAGUCUUGUCCAGCUUCUGUGACUGACACAAAGAAUGAGCCCAAGGACACAUCAGGAGGAGUAUGAGGAGCCAGCGCUAUCAGAAGACCAGAUUCAGCACACUAGGACACCCUUGACACCAGGUGUCCGGGAGACAAUAGGAGUUCUGGGCGCUGGACAGCACAAGCUCCUGGCAGCAGUGAAGGUCUGC